GACGAACGCUGGCGGCGUGCUUAACACAUGCAAGUGGAGCGACGAACCGGGGCUUGCCCCGGGGCAGAGCCGCGAACGGGUGAGUAACACGUGGGUAACCCACCCCGAUGACCGGGACAACCCGAGGAAACUCGGGCUAAUACCGGAUGUGCUCCUUGACCUCGAGGUCAAGGCGUAAAGAUAGCUUCGGCCUUCGCAUCGGGACGGGCCCGCGGCCCAUUAGCUUGUUGGUGGGGUAAAGGCCUACCAAGGCGACGAUGGUAGCUGGUCUGAGAGGACGAUCAGCCACACUGGGACUGAGACACGGCCCAGACUCCUACGGGAGGCAGCAGUGGGGAAUCUUGCGCAAUGCGCGAAAGCGUGACGCAGCAACGCCGCGUGGGGAAGACGGCCUC
rnacentral:rRNA from 1 species